GACGAACGCUGGCGGCGUGCUUAACACAUGCAAGUCGAACGGUGAAGCGCCUUCCUUUUUGGUGGGUGUGGAUGAGUGGCGAACGGGUGAGUAACACGUGAGUAACCUGCCCCCUUCUUCUGGAUAACCGCAUGAAAGUGUGGCUAAUACGGGAUAUUCUGGGUCUGUCGCAUGAUGGGUCUGGGUAAGAUAUUGUUUCGGUGGGGGAUGGGCUCGCGGCUUAUCAGCUUGUUGGUGGGGUGAUGGCCUACCAAGGCGGUGACGGGUGGCCGGCCUGAGAGGGUGGACUGUCAGGCGGGGACGGAGGCACGGCCAAGACUCGUACGGUAGGCAGCAGUGGGGAAUAUUGCACGAUGGGCGCAAGACUGAUGCAGCGACGCCGCGUGAGGGAUGGAGGCCUGCGGGUUGUGAACCUCUUUCGCCAGUGAAGCAGGCCUGCCUCGUUUGUGGGUGGGUUGACGGUAGCUGGAGAAGAAGCGCCGGCUAACUACGUG
rnacentral:rRNA from 1 species